UGGGGAAUAUUGGGCAAUGGGCGAAAGCCUGACCCAGCGACGCCGCGUGGGUGAUGAAGGCCUUCGGGUUGUAAAGCCCUGUCAUGUGGAAAGAACAGUUCUGCGGUUAAUACCCGCGGAAUUUGACGGCACCACAGGAGGAAGCACCGGCUAACUCCGUGCCAGCAGCCGCGGUAAUACGGAGGGUGCAAGCGUUGUUCGGAAUUAUUGGGCGUAAAGGGCGCGUAGGCGGUUAUGAAAGUCAGAGGUGAA
rnacentral:rRNA from 1 species